UACAGAGGUCCCAAGCGUUGUUCGGAUUCACUGGGCGUAAAGGGCGCGUAGGCGGCGCAACAAGUCACUUGUGAAAUCUCCGGGCUUAACCCGGAGCGGUCAAGUGAUACUGUCGUGCUAGAGUGCGGAAGGGGCUACUGGAAUUCUCGGUGUAGUGGUGAAAUGCGUAGAUAUCGGGAGGAACACCAGUGGCGAAGGCGACUACCUGGCCUGUUCUUGACGCUGAGGCGCGAAAAGCGUGGGGGAGCAAACAGGG
rnacentral:rRNA from 1 species